UAGAGCUGAGAGUGUGCCAAACAUUUGCU
rnacentral:piRNA from 1 species